rnacentral:rRNA from 1 species
CCUACGGGGGGGCAGCAGUGGGGAAUAUUGCACAAUGGGGGAAACCCUGAUGCAGCAACGCCGCGUGAGUGAUGACGGCCUUCGGGUUGUAAAGCUCUGUCUUCAGGGACGAUAAUGACGGUACCUGAGGAGGAAGCCACGGCUAACUACGUGCCAGCAGCCGCGGUAAUACGUAGGUGGCGAGCGUUGUCCGGAGUUACUGGGCGGAAAGGGAGCGUAGGCGGAUUUUUAAGUGAGAUGUGAAAUACUCGGGCUUAACCUGAGUGCUGCAUUGCAAAAGGGAAGUCUAGAGUGCAGGAGAGGAGAAGGGAAUUCCUAGUGUAGCGGUGAAAUGCGUAGAGAUUAGGAAGAACACCAGUGGCGAAGGCGCUUCUCUGGACUGUAACUGACGCUGAGGCUCGAAAGCGUGGGGAGCAAACA